rnacentral:misc_RNA from 1 species
CCCACGCUAUUAUAUUCAGCCCCUUAACAAAAUCACGUAAAACCCAACAAUUUUAACACACACAUAUUGCAAACUGAAUAGAAUUUCACGAAAUCAGGCUCAAGCAAUUAUAGAGAAAUAGAGAAAGAAUUAAGCUAAUCUUGCAGAGCAACUUGUCCAGUGACAGGCAGAGUCUGGCACAGUUACCCAAGAGAAGCAAAAGGAAAGCUUACCCGAGAUGAUUACGAUGUUGCGUGCUGGAUAAUAGAGGUUGAAGAUUGACGAAUUUGAAGCGUGUGAAAAAAUUAGGAAGGUUUUGGGAUGAGAUCUGAAGUGCAGGGUCUAGGGAUUGUA